UGGCGGCCGGUCGGGGCUCCGCCAGCCCCGUGGGGCUGGCGCCCUGCUGUCACGCAGCCGACUGCGACUUCGUGGCCUGCCGGGCAGGGGGCUGCUCCAGCCGGGCAGGGCAGCCCUCGCCCGAAGCCGAGGAAGCAAACUGCUUUCCCGUACCAAGUUCUCGCUUUUCGUUUUGUGCCGGUAAAGGAGCUGGGUGGCUGAAAAGCAUCUUUUCAGAGCGGGGCGCAGCUUUACCUCCUGCUUAAGGUAACAACGACCAGCUAGGAUUCGCAACGGCCCUCGAAGGUUUCCUGAAACAGCUCAGGUGUUACCCUGGACUGUUGUACAGGCUUAAUCUCAUGAAUGAAUCGGAACUACUCCGCUCAAGGAGCAUCUGCUCUCCAGAAAGGAAAAUUCAAGUCCUUCUGUGUCCUGAGCAGAUGAGGUUGAAACACCGGUCCUGCAGUACCAUACCACCUUGUUCCAUAUGUGCCUCUGCACGUAACAAACCCGUACCUGAAAACGAAGGCGCUCCGUUUUUCUUCAGAAAAAUAGCACUGCCUCUGGUACUGCGCUGCCUGAUGAUUAACUGCUGGCAGAAGCAUCGCGGUAGCAGGGGAAGCGUGCAGCUGAAUUCCUGUUUUAACAUUCUUUUGACAUGAUUCAAGACUAACCUGCUGUGCUGUCACCUGAAAUCUUCAAUAAAUACUGCAAAACCAGUGUUUGGGUGUUCA
rnacentral:lncRNA from 1 species